rnacentral:lncRNA from 1 species
UGCAAGACAUUUCUCUGAAUAUUAGUCUACAUCCUGCUUACUUACAUAGUACAAUAAAGACAAUAACAAGCCCGAAUCUUAAAAACUGAAUAGAUCAGAGAGCACAUACUAUAAAUGGGAAUGCACUACACACUCACUAAAAAGCUAAAAGAAAAUUCUCAUCAUGGGUCUUGGCUCUCGCACACAUCUUUUAUGUUAUAAAAGAGUUUCAAUUAAGCUAUUCUUCAUGGAACAAUACCCCAGCGCCUGCGCGAGAUUCGGCAGUAGCCUGAUCUAUGACCUAUUGAACAUAUUCAUACAUAAGUGCCUAAGACUUUAAUUCAUACUAAAGCUAUAUAACUCAAGCCGACUCCUUUCCUUUCUUAUCCCCUUCUGCACAAGCUCUUCCAGUGCGUAUCAUUACGAUGCAAGAAAUCUUUACACUUUCCUGCCAUUGGAAUAUGCCAGAGAACAAAUGAAAAUAUUAUUAAUCAACUAAAAAACUUUACAGGUAUGGUUAAACUAGGAAAACUGAAAACUUGAUUUGAGCUUUAACUCAAACUGGGGACGGUGCAUUCAAAAAAAUGGCUACAAUCUGAAAUUUUAUCGAUGCAUAAAAUUUAGCGUUCACAAAACCUCUUUUUUGCUACAAUUUGAAUUUUAUCCCUAUUAGAAAAUAUAUUCUUCAUCCACAUUUCCACAGCCUUAUCUUCUUCUACCCUACAUCUCACAACAACCCAUUUCAACUUUCCCUUUCUGGAGUAGUUAGUGAAAUUAUCAAAAAAAAAUUUCAAUCAAGUGCAUUUCUUUUUUGAACAACAAAUGCCCAAAACAAGAAGGAAAAUUAUUACAGAUUUCGUACAGAAAGGAAAAUGAAAUCAUUCAAUUAGUGAGAAGUGCAUUUCUUUUAUGAACAACAAAUGCCCAAAACAAGAAGGGAAUUUUUAACAGAUUUCAUAAAGAAAGGGAAAAAAUCAUUCUCUUCAUGAGACGCAAGUUCUAAAAAAUCAUUCAAAACUUACAGUACCUAUUUUGCUCGGAGGUCGUAGUCCAAUGUGUGACCAGAGGUUGGACGAUACGAGCUGAAGAAUGGCUGGAGAAAGGUUGACACUGCCGUUUGAAGGGAUAUAAGUUUUUCCUGAAUUGGUUUCUUGCAAUUUGGGGGGAGAAUACUGUGGACGGGCUGGGUUUUUGAUUUUUCGCUGGUGGUGGGGUGAAAU